UACGGGGGGGGCAAGCGUUGUUCGGAAUUACUGGGCGUAAAGGGCUCGUAGGCGGCCAACUAAGUCAGACGUGAAAUCCCUCGGCUUAACCGGGGAACUGCGUCUGAUACUGGAUGGCUUGAAUCCGGGAGAGGGAUGCGGAAUUCCAGGUGUAGCGGUGAAAUUCGUAGAUAUCGGAAGGAACACCAGCGGCGAAGGCGGCCAUCUGGACGGUGACUGACGCUCAGACGCGAAAGCGUGGGGAGCAAACAGG
rnacentral:rRNA from 1 species